UCUUUAAUGGAGAGUUUGAUCCUGGCUCAGGACGAACGCUGGCGGCGUGCCUAAUACAUGCAAGUCGAGCGGGAUUAUUUAGAAGCUUGCUUCUACAUAAUCUAGCGGCGGACGGGUGAGUAACACGUAGGCAACCUGCCCACAAGAC
rnacentral:rRNA from 1 species